AACGCGAAGAACCUUACCUGGGCUUGACAUAUAGAGGAUCGCUACAGAGAUGUGGUUUCCCUUGUGGCUUCUAUACAGGUGGUGCAUGGUUGUCGUCAGCUCGUGUCGUGAGAUGUUGGGUUAAGUCCCGCAACGAGCGCAACCCUUGUCUUAUGUUGCCAGCACGUUAUGGUGGGGACUCGUGAGAGACUGCCGGGGUCAACUCGGAGGAAGGUGGGGAUGACGUCAAAUCAUCAUGCCCCUUAUGUCCAGGGCUUCACACAUGCUACAAUGGCCGGUACAGAGGGCUGCGAUGCCGUGAGGCGGAGCGAAUCUCUUAAAGCCGGUCUCAGUUCGGAUUGGGGUCUGCAACUCGACCCCAUGAAGUCGGAGUCGCUAGUAAUCGCAGAUCAGCAACGCUGCGGUGAAUACGUUCCCGGGCCUUGUACACAC
rnacentral:rRNA from 1 species